rnacentral:rRNA from 1 species
AUUGAACGCUGGCGACAUGCCUUACACAUGCCAGUCGAACGGCAGCACGGGUGCUUGCACCUGGUGGCGAGUGGCGAACGGGUGAGUAAUACAUCGGAACAUGUCCUGUAGUGGGGGAUAGCCCGGCGAAAGCCGGAUUAAUACCGCAUACGAUCUACGGAUGAAAGCGGGGGACCUUCGGGCCUCGCGCUAUCGGGUUGGCCGAUGGCUGAUUAGCUAGUUGGUGGGGUAAAGGCCUACCAAGGCGACGAUCAGUAGCUGGUCUGAGAGGACGACCAGCCACACUGGGACUGAGACACGGCCCAGACUCCUACGGGAGGCAGCAGUGGGGAAUUUUGGACAAUGGGCGAAAGCCUGAUCCAGCAAUGCCGCGUGUGUGAAGAAGGCCUUCGGGUUGUAAAGCACUUUUGUCCGGAAAGAAAUCCUUGGCCCUAAUACGGUCGGGGGAUGACGGUACCGGAAGAAUAAGCACCGGCUAACUACGUG